GAGGCUGGGCAGGGCAGCAGCCCUGGAAGCUUCCGGCCCAUGGAAGUUUCCAGCCCAUGGAAGUUUCCAGCCCCCACAGUAAUACCUGGGGGCAGGAAGCUCGUGGGGCUGGCAGGGUCACCCCAGGAUCCCUGUUCCAGGCCUGGAGCCACCCAGGGUCACAUCUUGGGCACCUCCAUGGCUGGAGGCUCCCAUGGCUCUGGAUCAGUCAGGGUGUGCAGUCAGGGUGUCCAGGUGGAGCUCGGGGGCACUGGGUGCUGUGUUCCUGCUCUGGGGGGCACUGGGUGCAGUACAAAGCAGGAACAUCGAGCUGGGACCAUUCCAGAGCCUUCCUGCUCCCACAGCCCCGGGGCAAAGCGGGGCUGAGUCUUUUCCAGCCCUGUGCCCAAAGCUGGAGCAGCCCAGCCCAGCCCAGCCCAGCCCAGAUCCCCCCACUUUCCUACAAACCUGCCCUGGGCUGGCCUUCCCCAGCAGCACAGGGUGGGGAGAGGGAUGGCAGGACAGACAGACAGGCAGACAGACAGAUGGACAGCCAUGGCUCUUCAGUCCUGAAGGAGAAAUCCAGCACCAACUCCCUCACUCGGGAAGAACCAGCUGCUGCUGCCAAGCCUGGGUUUUCCUGGGGGAAUUGCUCAGAAUAUUAAAGAUGAUUUUAAAGACAGAACUGCAGCCACCAAUUGGGGCCCUUCCAGAGCAAAUCCCUGAGCCCUGUCCAUCCUGCAGGGAUCUGGGCAGGGAUCUCAUCCCAAUCUCCCUCCCUGCCCAUUUCAGCACUGGGGUGGAUCCUGCCCUGCCUGGGGAUCCCCAAAAGCCCAAGGGAGGGGCUUUGCUCCCCAGUCCUGCUCCUGCCAGAGCUCGGCUCAGUCCCACCCUGGGCAGCCUCAGCUCCAUCCCAGCCGGCAGCUCCCUGUCCCAGGGCCUGGGGGCAGCCCCACACCAGCACCUCCCUCCUCCCUCGGGGCACCACUGGCUGCGGGUGCCAGCCUGGAUUGUGACCCAGGAUCCCGUGGGAAUGGACAGACAGACAGACCAAGGCCUAAGGGAGGCCCAGGCUGGGCUGGGAUCCUCACCUGCCCAGCUCCCUGCCCCACUGAGCACCAGGAAUUGCCCCAUUCCUGUGUCCAGCGGUGAUCCUGGGGGCAUCCAGAGCCAUGGGAUAACAUUGUGGGAGAUGAUAUUUCCCCCCAGCUUCUGUUCCUCCCAUCUCCUCUCCCUGGGCUGCCUUUCCCAGGCUCAAAUCACCUUUUACCCGUAUUUCUUUCAUUACCAAUAUCGGAAAAGUGCAAAGAAAACGAAGAACAGGAACAAGGAGCCAGGACUGAGGUUGGUGUUUCCUGGGCGCUGAGCUGAGCCCGGCUCAGCCAGGCGGGGUUUGGGGACGGCUUUGUCCUUGAUCGGGGCUGGCACCGCCCGGGCUGGCUCCGAGGUGACGAUUCCCGAUGCGACACCGAUCCCUGCAGGAGCCGCUGCCN
rnacentral:lncRNA from 1 species